rnacentral:tRNA from 1 species
UCCCUGAUAGCUCAGUGGUAAAGAAUCUGCCUGCCAGUGCAGGAGACACAGGUUCAAUCCCUGGUCUGGGAA